AUGUGAAAAGUUGAUUUCAGCACAAGAAUUUGACAUUCUGGUUUCCAGCCCAGGAUUGUCAUUUAUGGGUAGAUUUGCAAUUUUAGAAUGACAGCCCCUCCAAACUCUUCAUUAUUACUGUUUUAUGAAACAGGAUGUGCUUAAUUGUACUGAAGGCCCAGUUCACAGAAGUUAACCCUCUGGGUGAAGCAUUGAUGAAAGUUUUGAUAAGCCAAAGUGCCCCUAAAACCAAUGAGAACAAGAAGGGAUCUGAGUGCAGAGGCACCUGGGAGCUUUGAGGGAUACAUUGCUCAAUGGCACCAGCAUGAUAUCAUUGAUCAUUCCUCCCAAAGACCAGAUUUCACGAGUGGCAAAAAUGUUAGCGGAUGAGUUUGGAACUGCAUCUAACAUUAAGUCACGAGUAAACCGCCUUUCAGUCCUGGGAGCCAUUACAUCUGUACAACAAAGACUCAAACUUUAUAACAAAGUACCUCCAAAUGGUCUGGUUGUAUACUGUGGAACAAUUGUAACAGAAGAAGGAAAGGAAAAGAAAGUCAACAUUGACUUUGAACCUUUCAAACCAAUUAAUACGUCAUUGUAUUUGUGUGACAACAAAUUCCAUACAGAG
rnacentral:sRNA from 1 species